AACGCACAUUGCGCCCUUCGGUAUUCCGUUGGGCAUGCCUGUUCGAGCGUCAUUUAAUCAUUCAAGCUCUGCUUGGUGUUGGGUGUUUGUUCCGCCUCAGCGCGUGGACUCGCCCUAAAUUCAUUGGCAGCCGGUAUGUUGGCUUCGUGCGCAGCACAUUGCGUCGCGAUUCUGGCAGGCCUCCUCCCAUUAAGCUUCUUUUAAGUUUGACCUCGGAUCAGGUAGGGAUACCCGCUGAACUUAA
rnacentral:misc_RNA from 1 species